rnacentral:lncRNA from 1 species
AUCUAAGAGAGAAAAAGAGAGAGAAGAAGAGAAGAAGAAAAAUUCUUCUUCCCUUCUUGAUGAUCUGGUUCAGAUCCUGACGGAUCUACACGAAGGAGUUCAUGCAACGAACUUCUUCUUUGAGAUCUAGAAGAGGAGAUUUAGAUCCAAGGCAGAGGAGUGAGAUCUUCAAGGUGCUAGCACACCAAUCAUCUCGGUGCUUUGGUUAGACAUCUCUAUAUGGAUACCAGCAG